rnacentral:rRNA from 1 species
CCUACGGGAGACAGCAGUGGGGAAUAUUGCACAAUGGGGGAAACCCUGAUGCAGCGACGCCGCGUGAGUGAAGAAGUAUUUCGGUAUGUAAACCUCUAUCAGCGGGGAGGAAAUGGCGGUUACCUAAUCAGAAGCCCCUGGUAACUACCUGCCAGCAACCGCGGUAAUACGUUGGGGGCAAGCGUUAUCCGGAUUUACUGGGUGUAAAGGGAGCGUAGACGGCAGCGCAAGUCUGGAGUGAAAUGCCGGGGCUUAACCCCGGAACUGCUUUUGAAACUGUGCAGCUAGAGUGCAGGAGAGGUAAGUGGAAUUCCUAGUGUAGCGGUGAAAUGCGUAGAUAUUAGGAGGAACACCAGUGGCGAAGGCGGCUUACUGGACUGUAACUGACGUUGAGGCUCGAAAGCGUGGGGAGCAAACAGGAUUAGAUACCCUAGUAGUC